GUGGGGAAUUUUGGACAAUGGGCGCAAGCCUGAUCCAGCAAUGCCGCGUGCAGGAAGAAGGCCUUCGGGUUGUAAACUGCUUUUGUACGGAACGAAACGGUCCUGGUUAAUACCUGGAGCUAAUGACGGUACCGUAAGAAUAAGCACCGGCUAACUACGUGCCAGCAGCCGCGGUAAUACGUAGGGUGCGAGCGUUAAUCGGAAUUACUGGGCGUAAAGCGUGCGCAGGCGGUGCUGUAAGACAGGCGUGAAAUCCCCGGGCUCAACCUGGGAAUUGCGCUUGUGACUGCAGUGCUGGAGUACGGCAGAGGGGGAUGGAAUUCCGCGUGUAGCAGUGAAAUGCGUAGAUAUGCGGAGGAACACCGAUGGCGAAGGCAGUCCCCUGGGCCUGUACUGACGCUCAUGCACGAAAGCGUGGGGAGCAAACAGGAUUAGAAACCCCGGUAGUCC
rnacentral:rRNA from 1 species